UACGGAGGGUGCGAGCGUUGUUCGGAAUCACUGGGCGUAAAGCGCGUGUAGGCGGCCCACUAAGUCUGAUGUGAAAGCCCGGGGCUCACCCCCGGAAGUGCAUUGGAAACUGGUGGACUCGAGUCCCGGAGAGGAGAGUGGAAUUCCUGGUGUAGCGGUGAAAUGCGCAGAUAUCAGGAGGAACACCAAUGGCGAAGGCAGCACUCUGGGACGGUACUGACGCUGAGACGCGAAAGCGUGGGGAGCAAACAGG
rnacentral:rRNA from 1 species